rnacentral:lncRNA from 1 species
UAAAACUCAUUAACGAAAUCAAUUAAUAACUUCUAAAAUUUAUCAAUUACUAUCCCCAAAAUCUGGAAGUCAUCACCACAAGAACAUUCUAUCCUCAAAUUACUAAAUCUAAGAGUGUCUAGGAAGCUAGAAUAAGAAAACAGAUGGUCCAUGUCCGAACUUCAAGGACAUCAAGACAUGAAUGAGAGAGAAUCCAGUCCGAGCUAGGAAUAAUAGCUCACCCUGAAAUCUGAUUAUGCUGAGGUCUGGCUAGAGUUGCGGUUGAGUUGAAGUCGAAGGUACGUUUGCUGCACUCCACAAAUAACAAAGAAGAAAAUUACAAGUAGGGGUCAGUACACAAGUACUGAGUAGGUAUCAUCAGCCAACUCAAAAUAGAAAUAAAUAUAUAUCAGAUAAUAACAUAAAAUCAACCAUAACACUUAACAGGUGAAAACAACAAGUACCAUAACCAUUGGCCACAACCAAAGCACAUAUAUGAGGACUCAAGCCUCCACACCAUACUCACUUACGAAUAAGGUUCUUCAAACCUGAGUAUAUUAGCAUAAUUUAAGAUUCAUUCUCUUUACUAACCUGGUGUCGGAAUGUGACACUCUGAUCCCCUACUAUCCUGGUGUCGGAACGUGACACUCCGAUCCCCUACUAUCCUGGUGUAGGAACUUGACACUCCGAUCCCCUAAUACUACGUGUCAGUUCGUGACACCCGAUCCCUUAAUCUCAUUAAUUUCCAGUUCAUCAACCUACCUUUAUGCCAAGACAUCAUCAUUAAUAGAGAGGUUUUAAGGUUGAGAUUCACAGCCUCAUCUUUCCAAUCCAUUAUAAUUACAUAAUCACAUCAUGCAAGCACACAAUUAAGCAUAUAGAAGACUUUACAAUACUACUCAAUGCAUAUCAUUCGCUAUUAAGAGUUUACUAUGAAAUAGCAUAAACCACAACCUACCUCCACCGAAGAAUCGUGAUCAAGCAAGCUAUCCCCCAAAACCUUUGCUUUCCUCCGUGUUCUUCUCUUUCUCUCGCUCGUUUCUCUCUUCUUUUCUUUGCUCUUUCUAUUUUUCCUUAUUCAAACUCCUUUCUUUUACCCUAAUUAUCAUCUAAUUAGGUAUAAAAGAUGGUAAAAGUAACCCACUAUUUAUUUCAAGGUUAUCUCCUUUAACCCCUAAGUAAUUGAAUUAUUAACAUUAAACCACUAACUUUAUAAUCAUAAGCAGUUUUAGUCCAAAACACCCCUUAAAAACUUUUAACACAAAUCCGACCCAGUCAAAUUUACGCAGCCUGUGACGGCCCGUCGUGCCUGCGAUGGUCCGUCCUGCUGUUUUUGUCACAAAGUUCAGAGAGUCGAAUUCAUUAAAGACUCUGUGACGGUCCAUCGUGCCUACGACGGUCCGUGCUGCUCUUCCGUCGCGAAGUUCAGAGAGUUGUUUCCCCGUACCCAAAUUUCAGAGUCUAAGUGUUUUGGAACGAGACCCCCUCGACGGUCCGUCGUACCCAUGAUGGUCCGUCGUGGGAUCCGUUGACCCAGACAGCUAUUACCAGAAAUAAACUCUACUACUCAAAACGACUAUACAUGUCGUUACAAUAGAUACCAAUUUACUCAUCGUUCAUCCUCGAACGAUCACAAGAAGAAAAACAAUGACGAAAAGGAGUACCUGAAUCUGUAAACAGGUGUGGGUAUCUUUCUUGCAUAUCUGCCUCCUUCUCCCAAGUGGACUCUUCAACUGGUCGAUUCUUCCAUUGAACUUUGAUGGAUGCAAUCUCCCUUGAUCUCAACUUGUGGACUUCUCUAUCUAAAAUAGCAACAGGCUCCUACUCAUAAGACAAAUUCUCAUCAAGAAGAAGUGAAUCCCAAUGAAUGAUGUAGUUUCCAUCCCCAUGGUAUCUUUUCAGCAUAGACACAUGAAAUACCGGGUGCGCUCUUGAGAGUCCUGGGGGAAAGUCUAAUUCAUAAACUACCUCCCCCACGCGCUUCAGAACUUCAAAUGGACCAAUGUACCUCGAACUAAGCUUACCUCGCUUACCGAACCGCAUCACCCCUUUCAUUAAUCCUCACAACUCCUUCCUCAUCAAUUAUUGCCUUUUUAGCCUUUCCUCGCAACACCAUAUCUCGAAUUCGGCUCAACUUCUCAUCAGUAAACUGCUUUCCCUUAAUCUUGUCAAGAAAGGAAGAUCUUUCCUCCACACAGGCCAAAAAUCCUCCCUUCACAUUUACUUCUAGCCUCAUAAAGUCAUUAGCCAGAGUCUGAACCUCUCUAGCCAAUGGGCGUCUGGAAACCUGUAAGUGAGCUAGGCUUCCCAUGCUCCCUGCUUUUCUACUUAACGCAUCUGCCACAACGUUAGCUUUUCCUGGGUGGUACAAAAUAGUGAUAUCGUAGUCCUUCAGUAGUUACAUCCAUCUCCUCUGUCUCAGAUUCAAAUCUUUCUGAGUAAAGACAUACUGUAGGCUACGAUGAUCAGUAUAGACUUCACACUUAACCCUAUAUAGAUAGUGCCUCCAUUGCUUUAAUGCAAACACUACCGCAGCCAACUCCAAAUGGUGGGUCGGAUAAUUACGUUCAUGCACCUUUAAUUGCCUCGAAGAAUAAUCAAUUACAUUCUUCUCUUGCAUUAGCACUGCACCCAAACCAGAAUAGGAUGCAUCACAAUAAACAAUGAAAUUCUUACCUUCCACUAGCAAGGUAAGAAUUGGUGUAGUAGUCAAUAAGGUCUUGAGUUUCUGAAAGCUUUCCUCACACUCGUCCGACCAUACAAAGGGAACACUCUGCUUAGUCAAGUUUUUCAAUUGGGAAGCCACAGAGGAAAAUCCCUUGACAAAUCGACGGUAGUAGCUAGCUAAACCAACAAAGCUCCUCACCUCUGUAACAUUAGUAGGUCUUACCCAACUCUUCACUGCUUCGAUCUUAGAAGGAUCCACCAUCACUCCAUCCUUAGAAACCACAUGCCCCAAGAAGGACGCUGAAUCUAGCCAAAACUCACACUUGGAGAAUUUGGCAUAAAGCUUUUUCUCCCUCAACAUUUCCAAUACAAUUCUCAAGUGCUCCUCAUGUUCUUUCCUUCUCUUUGAGUAUACCAGUAUAUCAUCAAUGAAUACAAUGACAAAGAGAUCCAGAUAUGGCUUAAAAAUCCCGUUCAUCAAGCUCAUGAAAGCAGCAGGGGCAUUCGUAAGCCCAAAAGACAUUACUAAGAACUCAAUUGAUAGUAGUCUUGGGCACAUCCGUUGCCUGUAUUUUCAAUUGAUGAUAACCAGACCUCAAAUCGAUUUUUGAGAAGGUACAAGCACCUUGUAACUGAUCAAACAAAUCAUCAAUGCGAGGAAGAGGAUACUUGUUCUUAAUAGUUACCUUGUUCAGUUGCCUGUAGUCUAUGCACAUUCUAAAACUUCCAUCCUUCUUCUUCACAAUCAAAACAGGAGCACCCCAAGGGGAUGCACUUGGUCUAAUGAAGCCUUUACCUAACAACUCUUGAAGUUGGGCCGUUAACUCUCUUAACUCGGCGGGAGCCAUUCUAUAAGGGGGUAUGGAAAUGGGGCGAGUACCCGGCUCCAUAUCAAUACAGAAAUCAAUAUCUCUAUCCGGUGGCAUACCAGGAAGGUCUGCAGGAAACACAUCCAGGAACUCACAGACUAUCGAAACUGACUCAAUUGUAGGUAUUUGGAUAGUAUCAUCCCUGAGGUGUGCAAAGAAAGCUAAACACCCUUUACUAACCAUUCUCUUAGCACGAAGAAAGGAGAUGAUACGAACUGGAGUGGAAGUGUAGUCACCCUCCCACACUAACGGAUCUAUCCCAGGCUUGGCCAACGUUACAGUUUUAGCAUUACAAUCUAAGAUUGCAAAAUUUGGAGAAAGCCAAGUCAUACCUAAAAUUACAUCGAAAUCAACCAUUUCUAAGAUAACCAAGUCUACAUGAGUAUUGCUCUCCACAAAAGUUACAAGACAAGACCUAUACAACUUUUCAACUAUCACAGACUCACCCACCGGAGUAGAAACACGAAUAGGCAUGUCAAGUAAUUCACAAUGUAAAUUAAGACCAGUAACAAAUGAGGAAGAUACAUAUGAAAAUGUGUAGCCAGGAUCAAAUAAUACAGAAGCCAUGAAAUCACCAACCAAAAGAUUACCUGUGAUAAUAGCAUCAGAUGUCUCCGCUUUAGACCUCCCAGGGAAAGCAUAACAAUGGGCCCUAUCACCUGUCUGCCCGUUUCCCCUGCCAUGUUGCGCUGCAGUAGUUCCAAUUUGCCCGCCACCCCGGUUGAUUUGGUGACCUCCAUUACCUUGGCCACCCCGUCCUCCAGAAUAGCGGCCUCUUCCAUGACCACCUCUACCUCUGACUAUUGGGGGUCUGUAACUCUAUUUUGGACAAUACCUCCUAAUAUGUCCAGUCUCCCCACAUCCAUAACACUCUCUGGGUUUAAUCAUAGGACUCUGUGAGAACGACGGAGUCUGGGGAUAACCCCCAAACUCAGAGAAGUGUUGACCGGUUUGCGGUGGACCCCCAGCUACAGCCUGCAGUGAAGACUGAAUAGGUCGGGCUGGGUAACCUCCUGAACUCUGCCCCCUAGAGUAAGAACCAUUAAACUCGCCUCCCUUACGAAACUUCUUAGGUGUCGAUGCCAUGGUGAAGUCGUCUGGCUUCACUCCCUCCACUUCUAUCACAAAGUCUACCACCUCCUGAAAGGAUUUUGCUACAGUAGCUACCUGUAAGGCUGGAAUCUGCAAGUCUGACCUCAAUCCCUUCACAAAACGGCGAAUCUGCUCUUGUGGACUGAAGCAAAGCUGGGUGGCAUACCUGGAUAAUGCACGAAACUUAGCCUCAUAAGCAGUAACCGACAUCAUGCCUUGCUCUAGGCUCAGGAACUCAUCUCUCUUCCUAUCCCUGAAAGUCCGGGUAUAUACUUCUCCAUAAAUAAGCUAGAGAAUGAUGCCCAAGUCAUGGCUGGUGCCUGUGCUGGUUGACACUCAACAUACGAUCGCCACCACAUUUUGGCAUUUCCCUGAAACUGAUAGGUUACGAACUCAACACCGAAUCGUUCCACUAUGCCCAUCUUAUGUAGCAGCUCAUGAUAAUCAACCAGAAAAUCAUAGGCAUCCUCAGAUUCAGCACCCUUGAAAACUGGAGGUUUCAAUUUCAAGAACUUAGUGAAAAGUUCGUGCUGAUCACUCGUCAUUAUAGGCCCUGUAGUCAAUCGAGGAAACAUGCCUAUUUCCAAUGAGGCAUCCAUGCGGGGAGCCACAACAGCUGCAUGUUGUACUCCCGAAAGCUGAGGUGCUGGUGCAGAAAACACUAGAGGUGUCUUGCCCUGAUCAGAUAACCCGCUAAGAUAAGCAAGAACCUGAUUAAUCAUCUCUGGGGUUGGUUGGGGUGGUAAUUCCUCAUUCUUCACUUGUUCAUUCUCCCCUUCCUCACCCUCUCUUAAUACUUCCUCAGUCGGUGGAGGAGUCACCGCCCUAGUACUAGCUGGGCCAGGUGCUUGUCCUCUUCCUCUAGAAGACGUCCUCCCGCGACCUCUACCACGGCCUCUUGCCACUGCUCCUCUUCGAGCUACAGCCCCAGCGGCUGGCUCAGACGCAUCUUGUCUUGCCGAUGUUGGUGUUGGCGCAGUUGUUGCUCUAGUUCUAACCAUCUGCGAAAUAGAGUGAAGAUGGUCAGAUACCAAUUUGUAUCACCUAGAUACCAAUUGGAUCCAAGUAAUUGCACGAAAGAAAGAAAUAAUGGAUUUUUCCUAAAGUCUUAUAGCCUCUCAAACAAAAGUAAAGGCGUCCCCCUACGGUUCCUCAAGACUCUACUAGACUCAUUCUUGUGUGAUGAGACGAACGAACCUAAUGCUCUAAUACCAAGUUUGUCACAACACAAAACGAGCCGCGAGUGGCACCCACACUUACUCUCCUAUGUGAGCGAACCAACCAAUCUAAACCCCAACAUUUCAACCAUAAUAAAAGAAUAUAAUGCGGAAGAAUUAAAACUCAUUAACGAAAUCAAUUAAUAACUUCUUAAAUUUAUCAAUUACUAUCCCCAAAAUCUGGAAGUCAUCACCACAAGAACAUUCUAUCCUCAAAUUACUAAAUCUAAGAGUGUCUAGGAAGCUAAAAUAAGAAAACAGAUGGUCCAUGUCCGAACUUCAAGGACAUCAAGACAUGAAUGAGAGAGAAUCCACUCCGAGAUAGGAAUCAUAGCUCACCCUAAAAUCUGAUUAUGCUAAGGUCUGGCUAGAGUUGCGGUUGAGUUGAAGUCGAAGGUACGUUUGCUGCACUCCACAAAUAACAAAGAAGAAAAUUACAAGUAGGGGUCAGUACACAAGUACUGAGUAGGUAUCAUCGGCCAACUCAAAAUAGAAAGAAAUAUAUAUCAGAUAAUAACAUAAAAUCAACCAUAACACUUAACAGGUGAAAACAACAAGUACCAUAACCAUUGGCCACAACCAAAGCACAUAUAUGAGGACUCAAGCCUCCACACCAUACUCACUUACGAAUAAGGUUCUUCAAACCUGAGUAUAUUAGCAUAAUUCAAGAUUCAUUCUCUUUACUAACCUGGUGUCGGAAUGUGACACUCUGAUCCCCUACUAUCCUGGUGUCGGAACGUGACACUCCGAUCCCCUACUAUCCUGGUGUAGGAACCUGACACUCUGAUCCCCUAAUACUACGUGUCGGUUCGUGACACCCGAUCCCCUAAUCUCAUUAAUUUCCAGUUCAUCAACCUUUCUUUAUGCUAAGACAUCAUCAUUAAUAGAGAGGUUUUAAGGUUGAGAUUCACAACCUCAUCUUUCCAAUCCAUUAUAAUUACAUAAUCACAUCAUGCAAGCACAUAAUUAAGCAUAUAGAAGACUUUACAAUACUACUGAAUGCAUAUCAUUCGCUAUUAAGAGUUUACUAUGAAAUAGCAUAAAGCACAACCUACCUCCACUGAAGAAUCGUAAUCAAGCUAGCUAUCCCCCAAAACCUUUGCUUUCCUCUGCGUUCUUCUCUUUCUCUCGCUCGUUUCUCUCUUCUUUUCUUUGCUCUUUCUAUUUUUCCUUAUUCAAACUCCUUUCUUUUACCCUAAUUAUCAUCUAAUUAAGUAUAAAAGAUUGUAAAAGUAACCCACUAUUUAUUUCAAGGUUAUCUCCUUUAACCCCCAAGUAAUUGAAUUAUUAACAUUAAACCACUAACUUUAUAAUCAUAAGCAAGAAUAUUCCAAAACACCCCUUAAAAACUUUUUAUAGAAAUCCGACCCAGCCAAGGUUACGCAGCCUCUGAUGGCUCGUCGUGCCUGCGAUGGUCCGUCCUACUAUUUCUGUCACAAAGUUCAGAGAGACGAAUUCAUUAAAGACUCUGUGACGGUCCGUUGUGCCUAAGACGGUCCAUGCUACUCUUCUGUCGUGAAGUCCAGAGAGUUGUUUCCCCGUACCCAAAUUUCAAGAGUCUAAGUGUUUUUGAACGAGACCCCCUCGAUGGUUCGUCGUACCCAUGAUGGUCCGGCGUAGGAUCCGUCGACCUAGACAGCUAUUACCUGAAAUAAACUCUACUGCUCAAAAUGACUAAACAGGUCGUUACAAAACCAUACCAUUUUACGAAAUCAAAUUUGAGCAUGUACAACUCCCGAAAAUGAUCUUAGCUUGAAUUGAUACAUUCUUUCUCCAUUGAGGUUGCUGUAGUGGGAUUUUGGGUGCUAUAGCGAGGCUGCUAUAACAGGAUGGGUGCACUGUAGCUGUCCAGAUAUGACUUAGAGUCGUAAAUAAAUGCCUAAAUGAUAUUUUUGACACCUUCUAACUUUUAGAGCUAAGGAGGUAACCCUAGAUGAGUUCUUAAUAGUUUUUCCCCGUUAUUGAGGCUAAAGGUAAGAUUUUAAAAACUCCAAAUUCGUUUUUAAAACUGUAAAACCUAUAUUCUUGGUACAUAAUCAAUGGGAACGGUUUUGAUCUAAGAAUUAUGGUGGAAAAUCCUUGAUUUGGGUAUUAGGAUCUUGGGUUUGUCUAGGGUUAUUAGGUUGUUAUAAUCUAAAUAAUUAGACCUUUGAUUAUUGAUCCUUGCGCAUAUUAAUUGUUGUAGACCUAGAACAAGCGGAAAAAAUCCAGAAAAGAAAGAUUCAAGUGCCUUAGAGGAUUCAAGCUUUGAGUCGAGGUAAGUGAUGAUUGUGAUUUCAUGCUGGUGUGAUAUAUGUUUGUACUUAUUUCUUUAUUAUGCAUGUACAUAUGUAAGUAAUGCUUUAUAGGUCACCCUAAUCAUAGAUGAGGAUAAUUGAAUAAUCGUAUGCCAUGAAUAACCUCUUGUUGUAUGAUCUUUAUGAUGUACUUGUGAUUGUGAUGUGUGAAUGGGGAUCAAAUUGCUACGUUCAGGCAAGGUAAGUUGGAUUGGAUUUCCACAUUCCAGCAUAAAUAUUGGAUCAAGUUACCGCAUUCCAACACAACUAUGGGAUCAGUUACCACGUUCCAGCAUAAAAAUAGGACCAGAUUACCACACUCUGAUAAGUUAACAAUUCAGAUUUGAGUUCCAUGAGAGGACCAUUGAAUUGGGUUCUGUGAGGGACCAUUUAAUUGUGUUCUGUGAGGGACCAUUUAAUUGUGUUGUGUAUGUACUUGUGAUGAUUGUUUUCAUACCUAAUGAUGAUGGAUAUUGAAGGAUUGAUUUUUGCUCUAAAUAAUUUAAUUUUAUAUCAUUGAGAAUUGUGAAAUUGUUCGUUGAUGUGAAUGAUGAUGAUAUUGUAUAUAUUUCGUAUAUGCUUGUUUUAUAAUGUUGUGGUUACUUUUAUGUUUUUCACUUGGUGGGAUGGUCGUAUGAUCUUACUAGUACACCAUGAUUGUGUCUUUUUGUUUGAUUCCACUCUUUUUAGACUCAGACUAUUGGUUAAGUUGGUGUUAAUUUCGGGGUUGUAUGCCUUGUUCUUAGAUUUGUCUUAAGUAGAGUUUUGGCACAUUGACUUUCAGGUUCUACAUAUUUAAUUCUGCAUUUGUUUAGUUAAUUAACUUGUUUCCUUAAAUUUAUCGCCUCAGUUUUGGUUUAGUUUCUUUGUUUGGGUUUUAGUAGUGGAUUUCCCGCUAGAUGAUUAGUAUGGGUGCCAAUCACGAUUGUCUGGACCGUGAAAAAUAAUUCAAUAUUUUCCAAGGAAAGAAAGGACUUUGACGUGGCACAUAAUUUUUGCAUUAUUUUGUUCUGUUAAUUACCUAAAGAGUGGCUCAGUUUGCAGUACUGAUUGCUAUAGGAAAUUACAGAGCAUAUUGAUGUGGACACAUCUGUAAAUAUUAUUACUUGGAUAAACCUUGCUGCAUAAUGUCUACAUAUGCUGCAAGUAUCAUAUUUUACUAAUCAAGUACUUGUGGCUCUGUCACCCGUCUUUUAAAUUAUUGUGUUGGUAUGUUUAUGCUUUUUAACGUCCUACUAAAAUUGAUUCGCAAAGACAAUGGUGUCACAACCAACAUUGUGUUCACUGUAGCCUUAUAAUUAUAAUGGAGAAGAGAGAUCCUUCACAGAAGUUAUAUACAAGGAUGUGGCUUUGGGAACAUUCAUAAUAGUAUGUUGUUGACCCUACUAAUGGAUUAUGCGGUUCGUGCUGCGAGAUUAGUCCCGUGCAUUGGUCAAUGAAAUAAAUAGGUUGUUUACAUGUAUUUUUUUCAAACAUAAACUAUUUAUUAAGCUAAUGAUCUUUCAUUUCUUGAUAUUGUUAUCUAUGUUAGAUGGGGUUCCUAAAUGCAUUUUAGUUCGUGCUCCCAAACUUUAGAAAAUUUUUGAUUUUAUAUUCAGCUUUUGGCUGGUAAGUCCUUUUAGGAAGAAUUAUAAGAUCCAGAUUUUAUUUUUAUAUUUCAAUAGCAGGUCAGCUCUGUACUAUACAUCAACAAAUCUUACAUUGUUAGAAAAUAUCUAUUAUAUAUGUCAAGAAUGUACCUGUUGUUUCUCAUUCUCUUGAAUAUUUGUUCCAUAAAAUAACCACAUGAAUAUACAAAGUAUAUACCAUUGUACAAGCUAAUAGUGUUAGACUAAAACAACAAGAUGUCGCUUUAUCCCCAAAGCAUCAUUACUUCCUUUCUUUCAAGGAAUUUUCUUUAAUUCCUUUUUCACCAAUUUAUUAUUUUGCUUGAGUUGUCAUUUUUUCUUCCUAGAUUAUUAAUCUAUAAUGGCCCUAAAAAUGAACUAGUGAAACUAGAGGAUAACGUGUAUCCAUUUGUGUUCGUCUUGAGUUUUAUUGGAGAUGUGAAACACUUAUGGGUAAUGAGAUAUGGUAAGAAUGGUAUGCGAGACAUAUAUUUCCAGUAAUUCGAUAUAUUAGAUACUACUCUACUUUAUUUUAUCCAAGUGUUUCCUAGUUGAUCACUCGGGGACAAGUGAUGGGUAAAUUGGUAUAAAUUGUAACGGCCUUAUUCCUUCAUUAUGGAGAAGUCAACGAAGAAAGAAUUGGUGCUGUAAAACUCUUUCAUAAUAACUUGGAAUCUCUAUCCUAGUCCAGAUUUGGAAAAGAUCAAAGUUAUUAAGGUGUAGGGAAAAUUUAGUAAUUAAUAAAAGAUUUAAUUGUGAAUUUUAUUAUGAGUGGAUUAAUAAAACGAUAAGGAACCAUACCAUUUUACGAAAUCAAAUUUGAGCAUGUACAACUCCCGAAAAUGAUCUUAGCGUGAAAUGAUACAUUCUUUCUCCAUUGAGGUCGCUGUAGUGUGAUUUUGGGUGCUAUAGCGAGGCUGCUAUAGCAGCAUGGGUGCACUGUAGCAGUCCAGACAUGACUUAGAGUUGUAAAUAAACCCCUAAAUGAUAAUUAUUACACGUUCUAACUUUUAGAGCUAAGGAGGUAACCCUAGAUGAAUUCUUGAUAGUUUUUCCCCAUUAUUGAGGCUUAAGGUAAGAUUUUUAAUACUCCAAAUUCGUUUUUCAAUCUGUAAAACCUAUAUUCUUGGUACAUAAUCGAUGGGGACGGUUUUUAUCUAAGAAGUAUGGUGGAAAAGCCUUGAUUUGGGUAUUAGGAUCUUGGGUUUGUCUAGGGUUAUUAGGUUAUUAUAAUCUAAAUAAUUAGACCGUUGAUUAUUGAUCCUUGUGCAUAUUAAUUGUUGUAUACCUAGAACAAGAGGAAAAAAUCCAGAAAAGAAAGAUUCAAGUGCCUUAGAGGAUUCAAGCUUUGAUUCGAGGUAAGUGAUGAUUAUGAUUUCAUGCUGGUGUGAUAUAUGUUUGUACUUAUUUCUUCAUUAUGCAUGUAUAUAUGUAAGUAAUGAAUUAUAGGUUACCCUAAUCAUAGAUGAGGAUAAUUGAAUAAUCGUAUGCCAUGAAUCACCUCUUGUUGUCUGAUCUUUAUGAUGUACUUGUGAUUGUGAUGUGUGAAUGGGGAUCAAAUUGCUACGUUCAGGCAAGGUAUGUUUUAUUGUAUUUCCACGUUCAAACAUAAAUAUUGGAUCAGGUUGCCAUAUUCCGACACAACUAUGGGAUCAGUUACCACGUUCCAACAUAAAAAUAGGACCGGAUUACCACGCUCUUAUAAGUUAACAAUUCAGAUUUGAGUUCCAUGAGAAGACCAUUGAAUUGGGUUCUGUGAGGGACCAUUUAAUUGUGUUGUGUAUCUAAUUGUGAUGGUUGUUUUCAUACCUAAUGAUGAUGCAUAUUGAAGGAUUGAUUUUUCCUCUAAAUGAUUUAAUUGUAUAUAAUUGGGAAUUGUGAAAUUGUUCGUUGAUGUGAAUUAUGACGAUAUUGUAUAUAUUUCAUAUAUGCUUGUUUUAUAAUGCUGUGGUUACUUUUAUGUUUUUCACUUGGUGGGAUGGUCGUAUGAUCUUACUAGUACACCGUGAUUGUGUAGUGAUACUGCUGCUUUUAUUUUGUUGAUAUAGAACAUGUUCCGGGGGCUAUCAACAAACCUUGAGUUCUCUUUGUUUUUACAGGAUAACUUGAGUUCUCUUUGUUUGGUUCCACUCUUUUCAGACUCAGACUAUUGGUUAAGUUGGUGUUAGUUUCGGGUUUGUAUGCCUUGUUCUUAUAUUUGUCUUAAGUAGAGUUUUGGUACAUUGACUUUCAGGUUCUAGGUAUAGAAUUCUGCAUUUGUUUAGUUAAUUGACUUGUUUCCUUAAAUUUAUCGCCUAAGUUUUGGUUUAGUUGCUUAGUUUGGGUUUUACUAGUGGCUUUCCCACUGGAUGAUUAGUAUGGGUGCCAAUCACGAUUGUCUGGACCGUGAGAAAUAAUUCAAUAUUUUCCAAGGAAAGAAAGGACUUUGAUGUGACACAUAAUUUUUGCAUUAUUUUGUUCUGUUAAUACAUAAAAGAGUUGCUCAGUUUGCAGUACUGAUUGCUAUAGGAAAUUACAGAGCGUAUUGAUGUGGACAGAUCUGUAUAUAUUAUUACUUGGAUAAACCUUUCUGUAUAAUGUCUACAUAUGCUGCAAGUAUCAUAUUUUACUAAUCAAGUACUUGUGGCUCUAUCACCCGUCUUUUAAAAUUAUUGUGUUGGUAUGUUUAUGAUUUUUCACGUCCUACUAAAAUUGAUUCGCAAAGACAAUGGUGUCACAACCAACUUUGUGUUCACUGUAGCCUUUCAAUUAUAAUGGAGAAGGGAGAUCUUUCACAGAAGUUAUAUACAAGGAUGUGGCUUUGGGAACAUUCAGAAUAGUAUGUUGUUGACCCUACUAAUGGAUUAUGUGGUUCGUGCUACGAGAUUAGUCCCGUGCAUUGGUUUAUGAAAUAAAUAGGUUGCUUACAUUUAUUUUUUUCAAACUUAAACUAUUUAUUAAGCUAAUGAUCUUUUAUUUCUUGAUAUUGUUAUCUAUGUUAGAUGGGGUUCCUAAAUGCAGUUUAGUUCGUGUUCCCAAACUUUAGAAAAUAAUUGAUGUUAUAUUUAGCUUUUGGCUGGUAAGUCCUUUUAGGAAGAAUUAUAAGAUCCAGAUUUUAUUUUUAUAUUUCAAUAGCAGGUCAGCUCUCUACUAUACAUCAACAAAUCUUACAUUACCAGAAAUUAUCUAUUAUAUAUGUCAAGAAUGUACUUGUUGUUUCUCAUUCUCUUGAAUAUUUGUUCCAUAAAACAACCACAUGAAUAUACAAAGUAUAUACCAUUGUACAAGCUAAUAGUGUUAGACUAAAACAACAAGAUGUCGGUUUAUCCCCAAAGCAUCACUAGUUCCUUUCUUUCCAGGAAUUUUCUUUAAUUCCUUUUUCACCAAUUUAUUAUUUUGCUUGAGUUGUCAUUUUUUCUUCGUAGAUUAUUAAACUAUAAUGGCCCUAAAAAUGAACUAGUGAAACUAGAGGCUAACGUGUAUUCUUUUGUGUUCGUCUUGAGUCUUAUUGGAGAUAUGAAGUCCUUAUGGAUAAUGAGAUACGACAAAAAGGGUAUGCGAGACAUAUCUAUCCAGUAAUUCGAUAUAAUAGAUACUACUCUACUUUAUUUUAUCCAAGUCUUUCCUAGUUGAUCAGUCGGGGACGAGUGAUGUGUAAAUUGGUAUAAAUUGUAACGGCCUUAUUUCGUCAUUAUAGAGAAGUCAACGAAGAAAGAGUUGGUGCUGUAAAACUCUUUCAUAACAACUUGGAAUCUCUAUCCUAUUCCAGAUUUUGAAAAGACCAAAGUUAUUAAGGUGUAGGGAAAAUUUAGUAAUUAAUAAGAGAUCUAAUUGUGAAUUUUAUUAUGAGUGGAUUGAUAAAACGACAAGGAACCACACCAUUUUACGAAAUUUAAUUUGAGCAUGUACAACUCCCGAAAAUGAUCUUAGUGUGAAUUGAUAUAUUCUUUCUCCAUUGAGGUCGCUAUAGUGGGAUUUUGGGUGCUAUAGCGAGGCUGCUAUAGCAGGAUGGGUGCACUGUUGCAGUCCAGACAUGACUUGGAGUUGUAAAUAAACCCCUAAAUGAUAAUUUUGACACGUUCUAACUUUUAGAGCUAAGGAGGUAACCCUAGAUGAGUUCUUGAUAGUUUUUCCCCAUUAUUGAGGCUAAAGGUAAGAUUUUUAAUACUCCAAAUUCGUUUUUCAAUCUGUAAAACCUAUAUUCUUGGUACAUAAUCGAUGGGGACGGUUUUGAUCUAAGAAUUAUGGUGGAAAAGCCUUGAUUUGGGUAUUAGGAUCUUGGGUUUGUCUAGGGUUAUUAGUUUGUUAUCAUCUAAAUAAUUAGAUCUCUGAUUAUUGAUCCUUGCGCAUACUAAUUGUUGUAGACCUAGAACAAGCGGAAAAAAUCAAGAAAAGAAAGAUUCAAGUGCCUUAGAGGAUUCAAGCUUUGAUUCGAGGUAAGUGAUGAUUAUGAUUUCAUGCUGGUGUGAUAUAUGUUUGUACUUAUUUCUUUAUUAUGCAUGUAUAUAUGUAAGUAAUGCAUUAUCGGUCACCCUAAUCAUAGAUGAGGAUAAUUGAAUAAUCGUAUGCAAUGAAUCACCUCUUGUUGUAUGAUUUUUAUAAUGUACUUGUGAUUGUGAUGUGUGAAUGGGGAUCAAAUUGCUACGUUCAAGCAAGGUAAGUUUUAUUGGAUUUCCACGUUCCAGCAUAAAUAUUGGAUCAGGUUGCCACAUUCCGACACAACUAUGGGAUCAGUUACCACGUUCCAACAUAAAAAUAGGACCGGAUUACCACGCUCUGAUAAGUUAACAAUUAAGAUUUGAGUUCCAUGAGAAGACCAUUGAAUUGGGUUCUGUGAGGGACCAUUUAAUUGUGUUGUGUAUCUAAUUGUGAUGGUUGUUUUCAUACCUAAUGAUGAUGCAUAUUGAAGGAUUGAUUUUUCCUCUAAAUGAUUUAAUUGUAUAUCAUUGGGAAUUGUGAAAUUGUUCGUUGAUGUGAAUUAUGACGAUAUUGCAUAUAUUUCAUAUAUGCUUGUUUUAUAAUGCUGUGGUUACUUUUAUGUUUUUCACUUGGUGGGAUGGUCGUAUGAUCUUACUAGUACACCGUGAUUGUGUAGUGAUACUGCUGCUUUUAUUUGUUGAUAUAGAACAUCUUCCGGUGGCUAUCGACAAACCUUGAGUUCUCUUUGUUUUUACAGGAUACCUUGAGUUCUCUUUGUUUGAUUCCACUCUUUUCAGACUCAGACUAUUGGUUAAGUUGGUGUUAGUUUCGGGGUUGUACGCCUUGUUCUUUGAUUUGUCUUAAGUAGAGAUUUGGUACAUUGACUUUCAGGUUUCAGGUAUUUAAUUCUGCAUUUGUUUAGUUAAUUAACUUGUUUCCUUAAAUUUAUCGCCUUAGUUUUGAUUUAGUUGCUUAGUUUGGGUUUUAUUAGUGGCUUUCCCACUAGAUGAUUAGUAUGGGUGCCAAUCACGAUUAUUUGGACCGUGACAAAUAAUUCAAUAUUUUCCAAGGAAAUUGCAGUACUGAUUGCUAUAGGAAAUUACAGAGCGUAUUGAUGUGGACACAUCUGUAUAUAUUAUUACAUGGAUAAACCUUGCUGCAUAAUGUCUACAUAUGCUGCAAGUAUCAUAUUUUACUAAUCAAGUACUUGUGGCUCUAUCACCCGUCUUUUAAAAUUAUUGUGUUGGUAUGUUUAUGAUUUUUCACGUCCUACUAAAAUUGAUUCGCAAAGAUAAUGGUGUCACAACCAACUUUGUGUUCACUGUAGCCUUUCAAUUAUAAUGGAGAAGGGAGAUCCUUCACAGAAGUUAUAUACAAGGAUGUGGUUUUGGGAACUUUCAGAAUAAUAUGUUGUUGACCCUACUAAUGGAUUAUGUGGUUCGUGCUGCGAGAUUAGUCCCGUGCAUGGGUCAAUGAAAUAAAUAGGUUGCUUACAUAUAUUUUUUUCAAACUUAAACUAUUUAUUAAGCUAAUGAUCUUUCAUUUUUUGAGAUUGUUAUCUAUGUUAGAUAGGGUUCCUAAAUGCAGUUUAGUUCGUGUUCCCAAACUUUAGAAAAUAUUUGAUGUUAUGUUCAGCUUUUGGCUGGUAAGUCCUUUUAGGAAGAAUUAUAAGAUCCAGAUUUUAUUUUUAUAUUUCAAUAGCAGGUCAGCUCUCUACUAUACAUCAAAAAAUCUUACAUUAUCAGAAAAUAUCUAUUAUAUAUGUCAAGAAUGUACCUGUUGUUUCUCAUUCUCUUGAAUAUUCGUUCCAUAAAACAACCACAUGAAUAUAUAAAGUAUAUACCAUUGUACAAGCUAAUAGUGUUAGACUAAAACAACAAGAUGUCGCUUUAUCCCCAAAGCAUCAUUAGUUCCUGUCUUUCCAGGAAUUUUCUUUAAUUCCUUUUUCACCAAUUUAUUAUUUUGGUUGAGUUGUCAUUUUUUCUUCCUAGAUUAUUAAACUAUAAUGGCCCUAAAAAUUAACUAGUGAAACUAGAGGCUAACGUGCAUUCGUUUGUGUUCGUCUUGAGUUUUAUUGGAGAUGUGAAGCCCUUAUGGGUAAUGAGAUACGGUAAGAAGGGUAUGAGAGACAUAUAUCUCCAGUAAUUCAAUAUAUUAGAUACUACUCUACUUUAUUUUAUCCAAGUCUUUUCUAGUUGAUGAGUCGGGGACGAGUGAUGGGUAAAUUGGUAUAAAUUGUAACAGACUUAUUCCGUCAUUAUGGAGAAGUCAACGAAGAAAGAAUUGGUGCUGUAAAACUCGUUCAUAACAACUUGGAAUCUCUAUCCUAGUCCAGAUUUUGAAAAGAUCAAUAUACUGUUUAGGAUUAUUUAUAGGGAGUACCAAUUGCCUCUGUAUAUACAUAUUUAUCAAUAAUUAAACUAUGAAUUGUUAUUAGGGAAAAGGGUCUGAUAUACCAUUCAACUUUGUCAUUUGGAGCUGAUAUACCCCUCGUUAGAAAAGUGGCUCUCAUAUAUGCCCUUACCGUUAUACAAACGGCUCAUAUAUAGCUCUGCCGUUACAAAAUGGCUCACAUAUACCCUUCAUUUUACGGAAGUUAAAAAAUUAGUUUUAAAUUUAUAUUUAUUACUUCUAAUUUUUUUUAAAAAAAAUUAUUUAGGGGUAUAUAUGAUUCUUCUAUCAAAGUUCAAGGUAUAUUUUAAUUUUUUUCAUACAUAAAUUAUUUUUUGACUUCUUUUAUUAUAAUUAUUUGAAUUUCUUAUUCUUAUUUUUUUUAUUUCAUUCCUUAGUUUAAAGAAUAAAAAAAUUAAACUAUUUUUUUUGUGUGUAUUGUAAUUUAAUUUCUUAUUCGAAGAAAAAAUAUGGUCAUCUACAAUAAGUUUUACAAGAAUAUUAGUGAAACAUAAAUAAAUUUGAUUAUAAAAAUAAUAAUUAUAAGUUAGUCAUUGAAACAAACAAAAGUCAAAAAAAUAUGUUUGACGAGGAUUAAAUUUACUCAUAUGAGAUUAUAUUUUUUAGAAAAAAAUAAUAAAAAUUUAGAUUGAAUUGUUUUUUUCGUUUCCGUUAGAGUAAAAGGGUAUAUGUGAGCCAUUUGUUUACAAGUAGGGGUAUAUAUGAGCCACUUUCAUAACAAGGGGUAUAUAAACUCUAAAUGACAAAGUUGAGGGGUAUAUCAGACCCUUUUCCCUUGUUAUUAAAUAUCACUAAAGUAUCAUUUUUAUUGUAGUGAUUACUCUAUAUUUUUUUAUAAAUUUUUUUUGUUUUUUUUGAAUAAAGAAAUAAAAAAUCUUUGAUUAUUUCAAUUAAUUUUGUGAACUGAAAACUUGUAUACAACUUGAUAGACAAGCACCAUGCUUUUUUCUUCUUGAUUGCUAGGAAAGCAAGGUCGAUUUAUUUUUAUUUGUGGAUAUUUGUGAGUUCAAGUGCUCACAAAGUUAUUUUGUGAGAUUUUUAUGUGUUAUGUGUCAAAAUAUUUGUUUAGAAAAUCCAAUAGCGAACCGUUACAAUCAGAGGCCGCCUAUUUCAUGGUUGGUAAUUGCAUUCAUUCUUUCUAACUGCAUACUAUAACCAUAAAUAUAACUAUGGUUCAAUUCAAAAAGGAUGGGGCCGAUGAUAUGAAAUAUAAUCAAUAGCAAUGACUACUUUGAGACGAUGAGGAAAAACAUGUAUGAUGCAAUCAAUUUUAGGUUCAUUUUUAAACAUAUAUAUGAUACAUCAUACUAUGAUAAAAUAGAUUGAUGGAGGUUCAUAAGAAAUGAGCUGAAGAUCCUCCAUUUGAGUUCAAUUUUAUUAUGUUCUUUUAUGGAUGUAAUGUUCCACUUUUCUUGGGAGUGUUGUCAUUCAAGGCUUUUUGGUAUAUUCUUUAUGUAUGAUGUUUUUCUUGAUAACUAUUUGAAAUUUUAGCAAAUUUCAUUACUUCUGAAACAAAAUCAAUAGACAUACUUCAUAUGUAUGCUCAUCAUAUCCAGAAGUUGAAAUAACAGAAAGAAUAACUGACCUUGUGUUGGGCAGUGAGCUAAGGUGCUUCAAUCGCAAGUCGAUUCUCGAACACAAACGAUAAUAUUAGAAAGUUCAAAUCCAAAAAUAGCUACAAAAGGAUAAACAGAAAGAGUUUAAGAGUGGGAUGAGGUCGCUUCAAAACUUUCAGGGGAAAACAGUGGCUAAAAAUCUUGUUCAAAUGGACUCCAAAUACAAGUAUUUAAAGGGCGAAAUCACAGUUCUUGAGUGGAAAAUGAAUUUUGAAAUUUUGAAAUUGUCUUCCAAUUCAAACGUUUGAAACUUUUAGGAUAGAUUUUGCAAUAUUCAUGUGAUUUACUAGAACGAAAAAGGAGUACCUAAUCUUUGUCCAUGGUUGACAUAAAACAUGUUAUUUUUUCUAAAAAUGCUAAGAAAGAAAGGAAACAUCUUGUACUGCUAAAAACUAUUGAAAUCUAGGACAUGAUGAAG